UUCUCAGGAGUCCUAAAUUGUGAAGGGAAGGACAAGGGAACAGAAGGAAGACUGACUGGAAGGAAGACAAGGAAACAGAAGGAAGACUGCUCUGAUUCCAGAGCAGCGUCCUGGCUCCAGCUCUUCAUCUGGUGUUUGAGCUCAUAUCAGAUGUCUAAAGAAGAUAGUUUCUGAGGUUGUGGGUCAUGAUGGCUGCUGAAGCUUCUACUCCAGAUCUGAAGGGUAGCAGUGCUCAGGAGACCCCAGACACUUACAUCCCUGAGUAUAACAUCAGAGAAGGGUGGGAAUGCUGUACUCCAGAACAAGGGGCUCUUGGAGAAGAACCAAGUUUGCUAUGGAAUCUGCUGGAGAGGUUACUGGAACAAGAAUGAAGAGGUCAUAGGUACACAAAGGUAUGUCACUUCCCUUCCACCAAACUUGUGUGUUCAACAGGAUAACAAU
rnacentral:lncRNA from 1 species